rnacentral:ncRNA from 2 species
UUCUUAUCAAGAGAGACGGAGGGACUGGCCCGAUGAUGUCUCGGCAACUGACUCACAGAGUGCGGUGCCAAAUCCAGCAAACAAUUUUGUUUGAAAGAUGAGAA